GGAUGCGAUCAUACCAGCACUAAAGCACCGGAUCCCAUCAGAACUCCGAAGUUAAGCUUGGGCGAGAGUAAUACUAGGAUGGGUGACCUCCUGGGAAGUCCUCGUGUUGCAUUCC
rnacentral:rRNA from 1 species